rnacentral:rRNA from 1 species
UACGUAGGGCGCGAGCGUUGUCCGGAAUUAUUGGGCGUAAAGAGCUCGUAGGCGGUCUGUCGCGUCUGCUGUGAAAACCCGAGGCUCAACCUCGGGCCUGCAGUGGGUACGGGCAGACUAGAGUGCGGUAGGGGAGAAUGGAACUCCUGGUGUAGCGGUGGAAUGCGCAGAUAUCAGGAAGAACACCGAUGGCGAAGGCAGUUCUCUGGGCCGUAACUGACGCUGAGGAGCGAAAGCGUGGGGAGCGAACAGG